UACGGAGGGUGCGAGCGUUGUCCGGAAUCAUUGGGCGUAAAGGGCGCGUAGGUGGCCUGGUCAGCGCGCGGUGAAAGCUCGGGGCUCAACCCCGAGUCGGCCGUGCGAACUGCUGGGCUUGAGCACUGUAGAGGCAGGCGGAAUUCCGGGUGUAGCGGUGGAAUGCGUAGAGAUCCGGAAGAACACCGGUGGCGAAGGCGGCAUCCUGGACCGGUAUUGACGCUGAGGCGCGAAAGCCAGGGGAGCAAACGGG
rnacentral:rRNA from 1 species